GGAUCAGAGAGUCCGCACAGAAAGCGGGGACACACCGAUCAAUAUCUGUUAAAAAUUAAUUCUGGGGAUGAAGUAAAUAACUACUCAUACAUUACUGGUAAAAGAGAGUAUUGAAGUAUGAGAAGUUCAUAGUAGACAACAUUGCUGGCUUAGUCAAGCUGUUUAAGUGAUCACCUAUUGUCAUUCAGACAGAGAUGACUUUUGAGUAAACAUUUAUUUUGGACUUUUCUCAGACACGACCGGAAAAUCCUGUUUACUCACAAGCUGUAUCUAAAUCUUCCUCUUGGAUUUUAAUGUAUUUAUCCAUGCAGCUGGCUUGAAUCAGUGUUGAAAAUAAAGACUGGGACACAGCCGGUCUGAUUAAUAUUUGGGUUGUACAGGGUUUUUUUUGCCCUGCACUGCCAUGAGAAGAACCUCCCUUACCAUGUAAAACCAGCACAUUUAUUUAUUUCCAGAUUUUAUUUUCCUUGAGCACAGCAGAUGGUACGUGCGUGAGAACCAUAUUGCCGUGAGCUCAUUCAGCAACAGCAGCGCAGGUUCACGAGCGAGGCCCUUGACAUACAGCUGGUGGACAGAGGGGAUGCUCAACUUCAAGGCACAGCAGAAAUGACGAGAGGCCGCCGGACUGAAUGUCUUGCCAGGAGGUGAGCCCCAGCAGCCAACACUACAUGGACCAGUCAUCGCAUCGCUGAUUGGACACCAAAUCCACGCACGAUAACUACAAACAGUCGCGCGAAACAACGCAUGAGAGCACAUGGUGAAAUAACAAGCAGCGGAGAGGAUGGGGGAGCCGACUGGCUGCAGCGAAGUUUGAAGACAACUUCUGCAAACACAAGACAGCUGGUAUCACACCGCUGCGGACGCCAUCUUCUCUUUACAUUGUAGUUCCCUGAAGUCCCCGGCACCCACUUCUUGAUUACGUCAUGCAGGUCAUGAGAGACGCCAAGCUCUGACCGGGGUCGGGGACCAACGUGUGGUUUGUCAUGUCUCGCGGCCAAGUCACGACAAGAAUUUGUGACUCUACAAUAUCAUGCAGUCUGAAACUGCAAUUAUACCGUGUCUGAUAUUCUUUAACUUAAUUUCAUACACUGGGAAGAAAAAGCAAGUGAGCCCUUUGUAAUUACCUGCACUCAUGUAUAAAAUAUGGUCAGGACUUCAUUUAAGUUAUUAUGAACAAUCUACUUUAACUAGUAACACACAAAUCAUUGUUCUUGUCCAUAUUCAAACAUUAACAGUCUAGAUUGAAAAAAGUAAAGAACCCCUCGGCUAAUGACAUCAGAAAAAGCUAACUGGAUUCAGGAGUUAAUAAACCUGGAGUCAAAUCAAUGAAAUCAAACCGGAGUUGGGUCAUAGCUACUUUGACUUACGAAAAACUGUCCAACGUUUUAAGCUUGCCAUUCAUGACAAACAUCUGCUGAUGUGAACCACG